ACUCCAUCAAAGCCAAAGGCGCGAGGCUUAAGCUCUUGAGACUGUUUGUAAUUGUCAUUGUCAGUGGCAAAGUGAGAUUCUGAGAGUGAAGAGUGAUGAAAACCCUAGAGACCUCCAACUCCAUCAUCGCCAACUAUUCACCUUCUUCUUACUUCUCUUCUUCUUCUUCUUCUUCUUUAAAAGAGCGUCUUCUUUCUCGAGGACCUGAAUUCAUCUCUUAUCGGAGGCCAUGGAAAUUGGCUAAUUCUGGACUUCAGCAUUUCGUACCUUUGCGUCGUGGAGGCAUUGACUUCAUUUCUUGCUUCUCUUCAUAUCAGCAGGUCGCAGAUAUUAAUCAGAGUGAUGCUCUUGAGAAUCAAGAAACAGAUCAAUCAAAGACUGUCCGUGUCAAAUUCCAGCUACAGAAAGAGUGCACAUUCGGGGAGCAUUUCUUUGUAGUAGGUGAUGAUCCAAUUUUCGGUUCCUGGGACGUUACAAGUGCAAUACCUUUAAACUGGGCCGAUGGGCAUCAAUGGGCAGCAGAAGUGGAUAUUCCCGUAGGGAAAAUAAUCCAGUUCAAAUUCAUACUUCAAGGAAUAACUGGAAAUGUCGAAUGGCAACCCGGUCCUGAUCGAACAUUUCAACCCUGGGAAACAUCGAAUACAAUCAUCGUUUCUGAAGAUUGGGAUAGUGCUGAAUCGCGGAUACUUAGUGAAGAAGAAAAAAUUGUUAACCAGGAGGAGUAUUCUCCCAUUGCCCCAGAAAAUUUAAUGGUUGAGUACAACCUCACUUAUCCAAAUGAAGAACUGAUCCCCAUUACAAAUAAGGAUUCAAUAGCACAUAAAGAAUCGGUGGAAUCGAUUGAUGGCAGUAACAUCCCAGCUUUAGAAGAAAAUGGCUGUAAUAUCUCUGCUUCUGAAGAGAAUAUCAGUAACGUCUCUCUUCCAGGGGGUAAUGGUAGCAGCAUUUCCGAUUCAAAUGAGAUAACCAAGGAAAUUUUGGAGAACGAUGCACAAGAUGAUGGAGUUCAAGAAAGCUCUGUUGACGAUCAAGUUCCCAUUCUAGUUCCUGGUUUACCUCCCCAAGUCGAAGGUGAUGGUUCUGUCAGUGGGAUAAAUGAAUCUAACGAUCAUAAACUACCUGAGUCUCAGAACAUACAAAAGGAUCCUGAGGUUGUGGCUGGACAAGAGAUGGAGACAAAGUCAAGUUAUGAAGAAAUUAGACAAGAGGAUGACACAAAUACAACUGAGAAUCAAUCUGAUUUGCAGGAAAUCAACAACGAUAUUGUUCAAAAUGACAUAACAUGGGGUCAUAAAACCCUGAAGAAGUUCCUCUCCAGUUUAAGACUGCUUUAGCAUCACAACGUUAUUCUGACUUCCAAGAUUUCAAUUUUAGUUCUGUUCUAUGUUGUUCCCCAAGAAGAUUUCAACUUUCUGGGACCCAACUAGGUGUAUGGAAGCUGAUGUUGGGAGUUGUAAAUACGAUCUACUCACUACACUAUAGUAUAUUACUGGGAUGUAAAUACAAAGAUUACGAAAAUUGGUUCAUUGGCGAAUCUGGACUGCAAUGGUAUGAAAAGAUUAUUGGUAAUGGCAGAUUUCAAAUAUUUGUUUAGUUUCGUAUAAAGGAUACAUUCUCAAAUUUCAAGUACCCUUUCUUGCUAUACUCAUAUAUUGUUUUGUUUUCGAGACUAAAUUUAUUCCAUAAGUAACAUGAUUGUGAUUGAGUUAAUAA